UGGCGGUGAUGACUAUCUUAGGACACCUUUGGAAUACCCAUGAAAUAAUAAUACCUUCUUUCUGAGCCGU
rfam:Gavia stellata contig21216, whole genome shotgun sequence.